CCUACGGGAGGCAGCAGUGGGGAAUAUUGGACAAUGGGCGAAAGCCUGAUCCAGCCAUGCCGCGUGUGUGAAGAAGGCCUUCGGGUUGUAAAGCACUUUCAGUAGGGAAGAAAGCCUUGGGGCUAAUACCCUCGAGGAAGGACAUCACCCACAGAAGAAGCACCGGCUAACUCCGUGCCAGCAGCCGCGGUAAUACGGAGGGUGCGAGCGUUAAUCGGAAUUACUGGGCGUAAAGCGCGCGUAGGCGGUCUGAUAAGCCGGUUGUGAAAGCCCCGGGCUCAACCUGGGAACGGCAUCCGGAACUGUCAGGCUAGAGUGCAGGAGAGGAAGGUAGAAUUCCCGGUGUAGCGGUGAAAUGCGUAGAGAUCGGGAGGAAUACCAGUGGCGAAGGCGGCCUUCUGGACUGACACUGACGCUGAGGUGCGAAAGCGUGGGUAGCAAACAGGAUUAGAUACCCCAGUAGUC
rnacentral:rRNA from 1 species